rnacentral:lncRNA from 14 species
GCAGACUGAUGCAUAGUAACUGAAAGAUAACAACCCAAGAAGUCACUGAUGGAUGCAUGGUUAAAGAAAUUGUGGUUGCCCUAGAUAUUCACAGCUGAGUAAGCUUUGACAAGUCAUCCAGACUUCUGAGGCUCGUGGUAACAGCAACACAUCUCAACAAUCAUCUCAAAGACGACAUGAGAUAACAAACAAAGUAUUGACGUCUUAAUCUCAAUGCUUGUCAGUAAGAGCCUACAAACAUAAGCUGACUCGGCUUCCCCAAGUGAAAGAAUCAAAAUAAAAACAAAGUAACAAGACUUGGAGCUCUCAGAUUGAACUACCAACCAAAGAACAUAUAUGGGCUGCACCUAGGCCUCUCGCUGCCACAUUUGUACCAGAUAUGCAACUUGGUCUUCAUCUUCAAAACAGAAUCUCCUUACAAGAGGGAAGUCCAAGUCAGUCCUGUACAUGAAAAUUAGCAUGCAUUUACCAGACUUCCGACCAAACUGGAAAUCCCUAACUGAUCUUUCAACUGUACAAUACAACUUGGCUUUGAAAAGAAAAUCAGCCAGCUUUCUGGAAAAGGUUAUCUUGUCCCAGAUUGAAAGUGGAACAGAUUACUCACUAUGUUUGCUAAAAUCUUGCAGAGUACCUAGCAAAAUAAACUCUCUGGUUAGUCUAAUUAA